rnacentral:rRNA from 1 species
GACGAACGCUGGCGGCGUGCUUAACACAUGCAAGUCGAACGGAAAGGCCCUGCUUUUGUGGGGUGCUCGAGUGGCGAACGGGUGAGUAACACGUGAGUAACCUGCCCUUGACUUUGGGAUAACUUCAGGAAACUGGGGCUAAUACCGGAUAGGAGCUCCUGCUGCAUGGUGGGGGUUGGAAAGUUUCGGCGGUUGGGGAUGGACUCGCGGCUUAUCAGCUUGUUGGUGGGGUAGUGGCUUACCAAGGCUUUGACUGGUAGCCGGCCUGGGAGGGUGAACGGCCACAUUGGGACUGAGAUACGGCCCAGACUCCUACGGGAGGCAGCAGUGGGGAAUAUUGCACAAUGGGCGGAAGCCUGAUGCAGCAACGCCGCGUGCGGGAUGACGGCCUUCGGGUUGUAAACCGCUUUCGCCUGUGACGAAGCGUGAGUGACGGUAAUGGGUAAAGAAGCACCGGCUAACUACGUG